rnacentral:rRNA from 1 species
CUGACGCUAAUACCGGAUGAUGACGAAAGUCCAAAGAUUUAUCGCCCAGGGAUGAGCCCGCGUAGGAUUAGCUAGUUGGUGAGGUAAAGGCUCACCAAGGCUACGAUCCUUAGCUGGUCUGAGAGGAUGAUCAGCCACACUGGGACUGAGACACGGCCCAGACUCCUACGGGAGGCAGCAGUAGGGAAUAUUGGACAAUGGGGGCAACCCUGAUCCAGCAAUGCCGCGUGAGUGAUGAAGGCCUUAGGGUUGUAAAGCUCUUUUACCCGAGAUGAUAAUGACAGUAUCGGGAGUA